AUGAGGGAGAUCAUCAGCAUCCACAUCGGCCAGGCCGGGAUCCAGGUCGGCAACGCCUGCUGGGAGCUCUACUGCCUCGAGCACGGCAUCCAGCAGGAUGGCACCAUGCCCAGUGAUACCACGGUCGGGGUUGCACACGAUGCGUUCAACACGUUCUUCAGUGAGACCGGUGCGGGCAAGCAUGUGCCGAGGGCCAUCUUUGUCGACCUUGAGCCCACUGUCAUCGAUGAGGUGCGCACCGGUGCGUACCGCCAGCUCUUCCACCCGGAGCAGCUCAUCUCUGGCAAGGAGGAUGCCGCUAACAACUUCGCCCGUGGCCACUACACUGUUGGAAAGGAGAUUGUAGAUCUAUGUCUGGAUCGUGUACGCAAAUUGGCAGACAAUUGCACCGGGCUGCAGGGAUUCUUGGUGUUCAAUGCUGUCGGUGGUGGAACUGGAUCAGGACUGGGCUCUCUGUUGUUGGAGCGCCUCUCGGUUGAUUAUGGCAAGAAAUCUAAGCUUGGUUUCACCAUUUACCCUUCCCCGCAGGUCUCGACAGCUGUUGUGGAACCAUACAACAGUGUCCUCUCCACUCACUCUUUGCUUGAGCACACCGACGUUGCGGUCCUCCUAGAUAACGAGGCUAUCUAUGACAUAUGCCGGAGGUCUCUUGACAUCGAGAGGCCAACCUACACCAACUUGAACAGGCUGAUAUCACAGAUCAUAUCCUCACUUACCACCUCGCUGAGGUUCGAUGGUGCCAUCAAUGUGGAUGUCACAGAGUUCCAGACCAACCUCGUCCCUUACCCACGUAUCCAUUUCAUGCUUUCGUCGUAUGCCCCUGUUAUCUCUGCCGAGAAGGCUUACCAUGAGCAGCUCUCUGUGCCUGAAAUCACCAAUGCUGUCUUUGAGCCCUCAAGCAUGAUGGCCAAGUGUGACCCUAGGCAUGGCAAAUAUAUGGCCUGCUGCUUGAUGUACCGUGGUGAUGUUGUUCCCAAGGACGUCAAUGCCGCAGUCGCAACCAUCAAAACCAAGAGAACUGUCCAGUUCGUCGACUGGUGCCCUACCGGGUUCAAGUGUGGCAUCAACUACCAGCCACCCUCCGUUGUCCCCGGCGGCGACCUGGCAAAGGUUCAGCGGGCCGUGUGCAUGAUCAGCAACAACACUGCCGUUGCCGAAGUGUUCUCGCGCAUCGACCACAAGUUCGACUUGAUGUACGCCAAGCGCGCGUUCGUGCACUGGUACGUCGGCGAGGGCAUGGAGGAAGGUGAGUUCUCGGAGGCCCGUGAGGACUUGGCCGCUCUCGAGAAGGACUACGAGGAGGUUGGCGCCGAAGGCGCAGACGAUGAGGGCGACGAGGGGGAUGACUACUAA
rnacentral:rRNA from 1 species